ACAUAUAAUAUAGAUUGAUGAAACUGAUCAUAUCUCAUUCGUUCUUCAUUUAUAUCUUUGCAACAAAAAAAAAUAAAAAUUAUGUCUAUGGAUUCAAGACUUCAAUGUUGUUGAACACGUGGAAAUUUUGGCUGUAAAUAAAAAGGAAAAUGCCGAGUUACAGGUGCAGCUUGAAGCUAUGAUCAGCAAGCUUGAUCGAAAAAUGGAGGAACAUACUAAGUUAGUGGAGGAAAUCAAAAACGACGAUGAAGUGGUUGAGAGUAACAAGAAAGAACUGAUUCCACUGGCAACAUCGGAGCAUCAAGAAGUCGUACUAAGUAAGUGGUGAAUACAUGACAACCCAUGAAGUGAGACCGAGAAAUGGCUAAAGUUUGAUUAUUUUGCGUGGACGUUGACUUCCUUCUUUGAGAAAUUAGCUACGUUUUGGAAAUCUGAAGGUAGUAAUGUAAAGAUGUAUAGCAUAUCCACC